CGGGGGGGCGAAGCGUUGUUCGGAAUUACUGGGCGUAAAGGGCUCGUAGGUGGCCAACUCAGUCGGACGUGAAAUCCCUCGGCUUAACCGGGGAACUGCGUCCGAUACUGGAUGGCUUGAGAUCGGGAGAGGGAUGCGGAAUUCCAGGUGUAGCGGUGAAAUGCGUAGAUAUCUGGAGGAACACCGGUGGCGAAGGCGGCAUCCUGGACCGACACUGACACUGAGGAGCGAAAGCCAGGGGAGCAAACGGGAUUAGAUACCCCGGUAGUCCUGGCCCUAAACGAUGAAUGCUUGGUGUGACGGGUAUCGAUCCCUGUCGUGCCGAAGCUAACGCAUUAAGCAUUCCGCCUGGGGAGUACGGUCGCAAGGCUG
rnacentral:rRNA from 1 species